rnacentral:lncRNA from 1 species
AACCACAUUCCUCCGUAAUAACGAAUAAGGACACAACGGGAAAUAGGAAAUAAGCUUGAAAAACCUUGCAUCCACAUACGUAUAGCUAUCCUAUAUCGGUAGUAACUUGAUGGUAAUCAUUGGUACUUAGCUGAUGCGUAAAAGCGCAUGCCUAAGUCACUGAAUGUCUGAAGAAUGUUUUUUUAGGUCAGGUAGGAGCUGCAUUUCGGAAUGUUUUG